GAUAGUGUGGUGUAGUGGUUUGAGCAUUGGACUAAGAAUCUGAAGACCAGGGUUCAGUUCCUUGCUCAGCCA